rnacentral:misc_RNA from 1 species
UUUCCGUAGGUGAACCUGCGGAAGGAUCAUUAAUGAGUUGUCAUGGGGUUCGAUGCUGGCAGCCAAUUUUUGGAUGCAUGUGCUUGCCCUAACAAUCAUCUUCCAAACACCUGUGCACAUUUUUGAGGGAGUCUUGAGUUGGUUGCCGCUCUUGGGUGAUUUUCUCACAUUCCCUUAAAUCAUUAUACGCUAUUAACAAUGUUGAACGUGCUUUGUGCCGCAAGGCUAUUAAUAUAAUACAACUUUUAACAACGGAUCUCUUGGCUCUC